CUAAAAAGCAAAUAAAGGAAUAAAAAUAAAAUUGGCUUGAUAGGAUAAAAGGCUGUUUUAAACAGUGAAUGAAAUUAUAUAAAUAAAUUGGCAGCACAUGGCACAUACAUUCAUUCACUCAAAAAAAAAAAAAAUCAUUGUUGGAGUUCCUGCUGUGACACAGAGGGUUAAGAAUCCGGCGUUGUUUCUGCAGCAGCUUGGGUUGCUGCAGAGAUACAGAUUGGAUUCCAGCCCAGCACUGUGGGUUAGGGAUCUAGCUGUUACUGUAGCUUAUUUUCUUUUUUCAUUGUUUUAUUGCUAUGACCAAGUCAUGUGAAAGUUCCUGAUUGAACCCAUGCCACAGCAGCGACCCUAGAUGCUGCAGUGACAGUGCCAGAUCCUUAAUCCUCUAUGCCACCGGAGAACUCCGGGAACAUAGUAUUAGACAAAUUCACUGGGCCUUUGCUCCUACAGAGUUUAUAUUUUAGCCAACUGCAAUACAUAACUAAAAUUUGGUUCUUCGUGUUCUCAAUUUUGUGACCCUGGGAACCUCCAUAUGCCACAGAUGCGGCUCCAGAAAAAGGCAAAAAGACAAAAAAAAAAGAAAUCCACAGUACUCAAUGUGAUUUGCAUGGCACUGACUACUUGUAUGCUUGCUCAUUUACUCACAGAUUAAAAUUUUAGUCUGAUGGAACUCUUGCUUCUGGGUUCCCAUUUUAGGCUUUGCUUUUUCUUCUGUAGCUCUGGUAAUAUAACAGAACAGUUUGGAUCCAAAAAGGAAGUUAUCCCUAAACAGACCUUAGUGAUUGAUUGAUUGAUUGAUUUAAAUAAAGGAAUAAAUGAGACAGCUCCUUUUGGCCGGGGAUUCAAAGUGCUAUGGUAAUUCAGAUCCCUGGUUUAUCCAGAUCAUUUUGCAAUGAACUUUCCUCUGCCCACUUCUUUUUCUUUUUUUUUUUUGGCCCAAGCCGCUGCAGGUGUCAAUGCCAGAUCUUCAACCCACUGAACCACAAGAGAACUCCAUCUGAUCCAUCUGCACACUUCUUUUUUGUAAAACAGGAUAAAACCUUCAGAGCAACUAAGAUGAGCAGUUCUGUGGUGGCUCAGUGGGUUAAAGAUCUAGCAUUGUCACUGUUGUGGCUCAGGUUACUGCUAUAGGACAGGUUUGAUCCCUGGCCUGGGAACCUUCACAUGCUGCAGGUGUAGUCAAAAAAAUAAAUUUUAAAAAAAAAAAAAGGAAAACUCAUUCUUAUUUUGAAAAAUAUUCAUCAUUUUAUCUACUUUUACCAGUUACUUUUUCUUAAAUGAAUGGUUUUUAUUUUUAAAAAUUUUAUAAUUUUUUACCAGUUACUUUUUCUUAAAUGAAUGGUUUUUAUUUUUUUUAAUUUUAUAAUGUUGGGAACUACAUAAAUGAGCAAAAUUUCUCCAAAAAAAAGAGAGCUUAUCACUGCCUGAAAGGCUUCUGUACUGUUCUUCAGCUAUUAUCUGCCUUUGAGUAGAGCAGAGAGAGGGCCUGCGAGUGGUUUCUUGGGGCCCCUUUAGUCCCCUAAAUUUUAAAGAGAUUACACCAUCUAGGAGUCUUUGGUGAAGCAAAGUUUCCUUAUAAGAAUGUGGUGAGCUCAGGAGGUCUCGUACUUUUUGCAAUUAUCUCUUGUUAAACAGGCUUUCCCUGGGUACUGGGCUGACAUUUGUUACUCCUGUCAAAACGCUCUUGACAGGCUUCUAAUGUCCCAUCAAAACAUCAUAGGAUCGGGGAAUUCCCUUCGUAGCUCAGUGGUUAACGAACCCGACUAGGAUCCAUGAGGAUACAGGUUCAAUCCCUGAGCUUGCUCAGUGGGUUAAGGAACCGACGUUGCUAUGUCUGUGGUGUAGGCUGGCAGCUGUAGCUCCGAUUCAACCCCUAGCCUAGGAGCUUCCAUACACUGCAGAUGCAGCCC
rnacentral:lncRNA from 1 species